GCCAGCAACAACUAGCUGCAGGUUGCAUCAACAGCUGCAGCAAGGCUGCCAGCAGCAGUAGCUCAGCUGGCAGCAGGAUCAGCUGGAGUUUCGGAGUUAAUUGGAGGAGUUUCGAAGGUCCAAAUUCGAAAUUGAAGACAUGUAGUGGUGUGGGGGGAAGUUGGGAACCAGUUUGUACCUUCCUUGAGCUUGAAUUGUAGAAGCUGAGCUUUUGAAGGUUUGGGAGUGAUCUUGACUUCAUCCUCUCAUGAUUAGAAUCUUGUUUGGACCAAUUUGGAGUUUAGGAACUUGGGAUCACCACUGGAUUGCACCUUGUCCUCUCCCUGCCCUAGAUCUUCUUGUGGAUCAAGAGAAUUGUAGCAUCAAGCUGCAUUUUCAGCACAACUGCAGUGGGCUGCCAGCAGCAGCAGUUUGCUGGCAGCAGGGCUGAUUCCGAGGAGGGGAAAUAAUUGGAGGGUAUAGAAAGUUCUACUUCAUAAUUGAGGGUUAAUUACAGGAAAAGGGAGUGUUGGUGGUCAGAUUGCAUAUUCUAUAAGCUGGAAUUCCAGAUUCUAGCUGCAAAAAUGAGCUUUUGGUGGGGUACUAGUGAAGGAAAGGACCUCGUAAUCUUAUUCCUCAAACCUAAUUGCAGCUGUGAAAUUGGAGGAUGUUUGAUGGAUUUUCCUUCAAUUCCAAGUGAUUUGAAGGUGCUUCCAAC